rnacentral:tRNA from 1 species
GCGGGCGUAGCUCAGAGGUAGAGCAUCUGCUUCCCAAGCAGAGGGUCGCGGGUUCGAGUCCCGUCGCCCGCUCCA